CAGUGUGCAAGGGUUAAGGGAACACAAUCAAUUGUUAGAAAUGGUUUCUAAGAAGUCUUAGCCUAAUGUUUUCGUCGGUUUUCGGGUAGACCGUAUCCAGGAAAAAACACAUUAGGAAGAAUUUUAAAUCAUCUGACUAUCCUAUAGAAUACCCUGAGAUUUAGGUACUUGGUAAAAACCUUCUGAAACACAAAGAUCACUGAACACUCUUAUCGCUAUGCCUGAUGCUGGUGGUGUUUAUUAGUUUUAAAUUUAAGUUCCACUUUAAGAGUGAGUAUUCUUGUCAGGACAAGAAUUCUUACUAGAAAAAGAAAGAAUCGGAAAAAUUUAAAAACUAGUUUUGUAUCAAAAUUGUAUUUGUAGAAAUUUAAACUAUUUACCUGAUCCAAUAAUAUAAAAAACCAAAAACUCUAAAAAAAAGAGUAUCAAGGGCAGAAUAAACCUUUCUCUUUGCUGAUCCUUUUUUUUUUACUUUUUUUCUCUAUUUGGUAUGUCAAGCAAAGGGUCGGUAUAUUAAAGAUUUUAUAGCUAUGGUCAAGGAUAGUUUUUUCUAGGAGUACGGUUGGGGCAGGUCCUUAUCUACCAUUCCAUAAAAUGUGGUGGUAGAUAAAAAUCUGGUGAAAAAAAAAACUCUAGACUACCUAUAUCUAGAAGUAAGAUCCGAACAUCAUUGGGUUCCCAAUUCUAUGUUGAAAUUGGAAACUAUUUGUGUUGAGUGAAUGACACACUGAGGUUUUUAAGAAGGAUAUUUAGUAUGCUUCGAAAAAUAAUGGGUACCCUAUUAAAAGCUCGAUUCCCUGGAAAAUUCACUAUCAUCGGCUGGGUCUUUCUCCAACAGUUUUCUUAGGAAGUCUUAUUUGUUCCUGAUGCUUUUCUUUGUGUAUUUUAGAUAAUGAAGAUGAAUAUGGUGGAUAAAUAUUGGAAAAAAAAAGCUUAUUUCACUUAGAUUUUUUUUAUCCGGUGAUUUUAGAAGCUUUUUUUAAUAUUUAAUUUACCUGGGAUCUUUCCUUGGAAAAACUAAUAAUAAAUCUGUCAGAAAUUUCAAUCUUUUGUCUGUUCCAAUACACAUGCGAGAAAAGGUAAAACAGAAAACAGUAUAAGGCUCAAGAUUUCAAGUGAACCAAACGCCCUUGGGUCUACGGGUGCAUUUUUUGAUUUAUAAAUUCCGUUGGAUUUUUAUUAAUAAACGUUAAGUAGGAUGCCGAUGGAUAGAGAAAAGGAGUCCUAGAAAAGUAAAAGAGUUUAAAGAUAAAAGAACGAACUCGAGCUAUAUGUAGAAAUAGGAAUUAGGAUUGGAAAAUUGUUUUUUUUACUUUCUGUCAUAAUGGAUGAAACCGUUCACUCGCACAUAGGUAAAAAAAUAUCCUUAGAGAAUAGAAUUUAUUGGGAUAAACUAGUUGAUCUUAAUAGGAUAACUGAUAAAUAUAAAAUGUAUAUUUAUAUAACAUAUUUCAAUGUCCCCCGAGAGAAGUUCACUAUGGGGCAUUAAAUCGACCUUUCGUAGUUUUCUCUCUUUUCGGAUUUCUCUCUUUUACUCUUUCACUCGUCUUUUUUUUUUCUGCUUUCAUCUCGAUCCCCUGGUAGAUCGACCUAAUCCCGAUCGACCCUAGGAUACCCUUACUAUCUAGAUCGAGGUAUUAAUAACCAAAGUUGGUAAUUUUACCAAACGGGUUGCCUUGGUGUGUUAAACUCCAACCUCGUAUAGCGGCCUGCCACAAACACUCGAGCUCAACCUCUGACUCAUACUUGGAAGGAGAUGGUAAAAAGACAGUUGACCUCCAUUGAACUAACUCAUAUCUAUGACUAACAAUCGGAGAACGACUAGGUCGCAAGAAAUGAUGAUGACCAUGUAGCAACACAUUUGAUAACCCUCGGUCCGUCCUGGUAUCCCAAGUGUGUCUUGAAUGUUCAUGUGUUAGGCUUACUGUGGUAUCCAAGAAUACUGUACUGUGCAGUUGCCAUGGGUCCCAUGGGGGACGUGAGUAAUAUUCGCAAGCCGGAGUAGGUAAAAGGUCUACCAAGCUCAUGGUAGCGCAGUCUUUGAAAUCUCGGAGACCAAGCUUCCAUGACAAAUGGGUCGGAAGAAGUGGUCGAUUCUUGUGCAACUGCCAGGCCCGACGCCGAGUAGCAAAGAAAAAAUGCAACAUUCGAUCGUUUGUUAGGGCCAUAGGUGUUUGGUAUAAUUUACGUGGUGAGAGAGGAAUCGUCCCAGGUCGGACCGAGUAGUUGGCGGAGGAUGUUAGUCUAGCUCCUUGGCUCACAGAUUUUCCUCUGUGAGUAUUUAAAUAGACGAGCGUCUCCAUUUUCCUCCCAGUGGAGGAGAGGGGCUCGGUAUCCAUAUCCAAGUGCACACCCGACUGUGGUAGGAGACCAUCCAGCAACAGAUUACGGUUGGUUGAUGAUGGAGGUAUCCAUUCAGGGAUCCUUAAACUCACCGUCUGAGGAGGCCUAGGGAAAAAAUCCUCUCGGUAACUCGAAGAAAGGGUGUUUCCCCACGCGGACUGUUUGGUUGAUACCCGAGCUUCUAUUGAACAUUGUUGCGAAGGAAAUGUGGGUAAAAGGUAUGUUUCUUGAAAUACCAGCGUUAGGUUAUUCUUAUAAACGUGGAAGCUAUGUUCAAUGAGUUGAAGUAACAAUUUAAUGUGUAAAAGAUAAAGAUGAUUUAGGGUAUCCCAUGACAUAGAAGAUUUUCUCGAAGGAUUUUUGGGCAUCAGGUGAAUCUCGAUCGUUCGAAGAGCGUAUAGAUACGUGCGUGUAUAAAAAGAACCCUUCUCAUCUACUCCUAGUUUAGUCAAGUCUAUCUGUCGCAUUGGAAAACAACUGGUCACGUGUCCUAUAAUAGGGGGGGGGGAAAUCGAGUUGGAUGAGCUCACUGAA
rnacentral:rRNA from 1 species